rnacentral:snoRNA from 12 species
ACCUUCUUUUGUAUAAGCAUUGCGCUAAAAUCGCAGAAACCGGGAUCAUACCUUGGUUUCUGUAAUGAUGUUAGCAGACUAACAUAAGAAGAAAAGUAACUGCAUUAGAGUCUAAAGACUGGAGUGAACCUCUCUCUCUUAGUGUCCAGUGUCCUUUGUCUUAAGGCAUGAUGCACUAUGU